rnacentral:tRNA from 1 species
GCCUCUGUAGCUCAGUUGGUUAGAGCGCUGCACCGGAAUCGCAGGACGUAGGUUCAAUUCCUACCAGAGGAC